GCGACAACAUGGCAGGGAAACUCAUUGGCAGCACAAGGGAUGAGAGUACAGAUUAUUAAACUGAAAUAAAUGCGCAGAGUGAGCAGCCGAUUUACUCAGGGGCAUCGCAAAUAAAUACAUAAACACACCUCCAGUUUUCUCAACAGCAUUUCAUUUUUGAUUAGCCAGCUGGACAAGCACUAGGAAGAGCAAGGUGUCAAAUCGUCGCAGUGAUAGUCACUGAGGUAGCUACCAAGUCCAUCAUCCUAGACUGUGGCAACUUGGCAUACGCAUUUUAUAUGUAUAGGUUUCUGUCCGGUUUAGGGGAACAUUUUAAUCAAGAAAAUUCGCAGUUCGCUAAGACUGACCCUAAUAUGACUAGCUAGCUAGUCUCUGAUGAUAAGUUAGCAUUGGUGCCUGCCUGAUCGACGUGGCUAACUUCACUUGCUGGGCAUAAUUGGCAAGAACGACAUCUUUCUGCAUCAUCACAGAAUGAACGAAGACGAGUUGGUAGAGUACUUUCGGGCGCAGAUGAGGCAGGAUCCGGAUGUAACCUCUGCAGUUGCAACCAUCCGCACCCUGCUGGAGUUCCUAAAAAGAGACAGAGGUACGUAGUUCCGAUAAAACGCGCCUUGCACACCGCAACACAGUUUUGCGUGUGACAAUAAUACCUGGUGUCUUGUUCAAAUUGUAUAAUAGAUUCAAUGUGUACAAUAACUUUUGUUGUGUUGUGGUUUGAAGGUGUUUGUUGCUCUCUUGACCGUUGGAAGUCCGAAUUACCUAUUGUACCUUUAACAGAGAACCGGUGAUUAAACCACAACAGGCCGUUUAUUUUCUGUGUAAAAUGAGGACCACAACAGGCUGUUUCUUUUCUGUAUUAGGUGGUUAGUAAUGGGCUGUUUCCUUUCCCAGGAUCUGGCACAGUGCAAGAAGGUAAUGGUUGAAAGAGGAGAACUUUUCCUGAAGAAAAUCUCGCUGUCCAGGAACAAGGUCGCAAAGCUGUGCCACACCUUCAUUAAAGAUGGAGCAUUGAGACUCCAGACUGUUCGACACUCUUCAGAUGUAGCAUUUCAAUAAGGUUUCAAUGCGUUUUAAUUUGAAAACCUUUGUUUUCGGACGUUUGGGUGCAUAAUUAGCACUGAACAACAUGCUAACAAAAACAAAAAGCGCCUCCAACAGAGAAUCUGACGUAGUCACUCUCCUGGGGUGAGUAGAGUGAGUGUGUCCAUCAUUUGCAUAAUGUAUUCUCUAACCAAUCAGGUGCCAGUAGUUUUCAGUGUAAAAUUGAUCCAUAACCGCUGGCUUUCCGAAAAUGAACCGUUAAAAUUAAGCUCGCAAAUUUGUGUGCGUCAAGAAUUUACGUUCUUGUUUGUCAAUGGAAAGCAUUUACACUACCUACCUACACUUCUAGCCAAAAGUUUAGACACACUCACUUCCUUUUUCUGCUUUUUCUGAUUAUUACAAACAGAAAAUGAAACAAUCUGCACCACAAAUAAAUUAGUUUUGCUUUCACUGUUUCGUAAUUUCAGCAUUUCAGUGUUUGAGACAAAUUAACCUAAUGUCAAAUAAAAUGAUGUUUUGUAA